rnacentral:tRNA from 1 species
CAUUAAGAAGCUAUGAAUCAGCAUUAGCCUUUUAAGCUAAAGAAAGAGGGAACUCCCUCCUUAAUGA